rnacentral:rRNA from 1 species
AAUAUUGGGCAAUGGAGGCAACUCUGACCCAGCCAUGCCGCGUGCAGGAAGACGGUCCUCUGGAUUGUAAACUGCUUUUGAAUGGGAAGAAUGUGAUGCUUGCGAGCGUUAAUGACGGUACCAUUAGAAUAAGCCACGGCUAACUACGUGCCAGCAGCCGCGGUAAUACGUAGGUGGCGAGCGUUAUCCGGAUUUAUUGGGUUUAAAGGGUGCGUAGGCGGCUUGAUAAGUCGGUGGUUAAAAGUAGCAGCUUAACUGGGUUAGAUGCCAUAGAUACUGUUGAGCUUGAGAUAUUUGGAGGCAGCUAGAAUUUCCGGUGUAGCGGUGAAAUGCAUAGAUACCGGAAGGAAUACCAAGUGCGAAGGCAGGUUGCUACGAAUAAACUGACGCUGAUGCACGAAAGCGUGGGGAUCAAACAGGA